AGACGUACGCUUUGGCUGUUUCAUUCAAAUCUGUAAGAUAGAAAAAAAAUGGUAAUUAGAAUUAGACUUGAUAAAAUGCUUUGCACAUUAACUACUAAUAAAACGGCAUGCAAAUUGAAUAAAAAUGCAUAUUAACAGAAUUAAAUGUUCCCUGAGUUUCAAUAAAGUACCUCACAUCACAUACCGUCACCAAAAUAUAAUAUAAAAUCAACUGGAUAUUUAAAAAUUUUGUAAUUAGUUAUAUGGGAGCUAGAGCAAGUUUUUACCCGUAUAUGCUGUAUAAAGUCACCCGAAAGUUCGAAAAUCUUUAUACUAGGAAUAUUUCAUGUUUUUUUUUGUCAUUCAGACAUACUAUAAGGAAAGCAAUUUCUUCGAAUUUCAAUUAUAUACUCCUCACAUUAGGCCUUGGGGUCCACAUAUUCCUAUACCUAGGGGCUUGAACAGUUUUGGUUCGAUUUGAACAAUCUUUGUUUAUGAGGUGGCACACUUUAAAGCGACUAUUCGUGCAAAGUUUUAUUAAUUGGUGCUUUAUUUAUAUACUGGAAUGUGAAAGAAUUUUAAAUUGAUUUAUAUACGUAGUACUGUAAAUAUUUAUAAUAAUUUUGUUUAAUGCUAAGUUACCGAGCUUAGAAAUACUAAGCUAUAUCGCUAAAAUUGAAUUUUUACUUAUCGUAAAUAUCGAUUUAUUCACAUAUGAAUUUUGGAACUUAUUUUAGUUAGAUAAGUACAACCAGAAAUUGUAUAUCAAAAACGCUGAAAUAAUUUAGAGAAACUAGAUUUAGACGAUAUACUCAUUUUAUUUUAAAAUUAAUCGAAUUGAAACUAAAUAUUUAACUCAGUUGACGGCAUAAACAAAAAUUGUAAGUAUCCUAAAUGUAUGCUUCGAUUUGAAUGUGAUAUUUCAGUGUAGGAGUGUUAGUAUUAACUUAGAACAAAUUAUUGUGCAUAUAUAUUUUUGUAUGUAAUAAUAUUCUAGGCAUUUCUUUAAAUUUCGGUUGCAUAGAUACAUAUAUACUAUGCACUUUGAUGAGUACUUAUAUACUAUAUAUACAUAUAUAAUCUUGCUAUAUAUAAAUAAUACACACCAUAAAUAUCGAUUUGUUUCCACAUUUGUAUUUACAUCAAUAACAGUUGAAGACACUUGUUGCUCAUGUAAACCGCACAUAGGCCGGGACAAGUGCAAUAUUAGCUUAAAAUACAAUAUAAAACAUUGUCACUUUCCCGCCCUGCGUGCAAUUCCAUGAUACCUCGAUGCGUGUAUACUUAAUGAAACGGAAUAUUUAAUGUCUCCGUUGAGUGUAAGCUUCUUCCUUAAGCUACAGCUGCAGACAUAUUUAUACCCUGAACAGAAUAUAUUAAAUUCGUCAUUAAAUUUGUAACACACAGAAGAAAACGUCGGAGACCCUAUAAAAUAUAUGUCCGCCUGUCUGUAUAUACGCAACUAGUCCUUAAGUUUCCGAGAUAUCGAACUGGAAAUUCACACGUCCUUUUCUAUACAAGAAGCUGCUCAUUUGUUCACUAUAGUAUAUAGCUGCCAUACCAACUGAACGAUCAAGGUCAAGUUCUUGUAUGGCAAACUUUUUUAUUUGACGAAAUUUGACAUGUAUUAUUGUACAAAAGAACACUACAAAACCUCCGAAGAAAUUGUUCAGAUCGGGUCACUAUAGCAUUUAGCUGCCAUACCAACUGAACGAUCAAAAUUUAGUUCUUGUAUGAAAACUUUCUUUAUUUGUGAAGGGUAUUAUAGCGUCGAUGCAACCGAAGUUAACGUUCUUCUUGUUUUAUAUGCCUUUAAUGCACAUUUCAGUGCAUAAUUAUCAUUUUGUGUAUAAAUAAAAUGCAUAUAUUGUUUUCGAACAAUUUCGAAUGAGUACAAGAAAAUCUAGUUCUCAUUUUUCAUUUAAAAAAAUCUGAUUGCCGCAUAAGUAUUGAAUUUCCGCCUUCGCAUAUGUACUUGUAUUUAUGCAUGUACGUGCGUUGAGCAUCCUUUGCAGCACAAUGAAAAUACAACAAAAACAAAAUGCAUGUAUCCUGCCAGACUGCGCUCGUGCAUUCUUCCACCUCCGCUGUUAACGGUAAGAUAAUGUGCCAACGCCAAUUGAGUUCCUCACAUACCAUCUACACAUAGAACUUAUGCAGACAAAUAGCUUCAACAAGUGAACCAUUAAAAUCCUAUAUAAUAAACCACAUACAAAGACACAAAAAAUUUGGCUCUAUGUCUGGCAUAAAAAUUUGGCAAGGUAGUAAGUAACACUAUGUGGUCUGAGUCGGCGGUAACGUCUCCUCCUCCUCCACCACGCCCUUCUCAUUUUUACGCUUAUUUCGGCUUGUUGCACACUUGCCAUGUACAUACAUAUUUAAAUGUUUAUGUAUACACUAGUAGCUGUGCAUAUGUUUGUUCUGCUCCUUCCACGGUGUCUGUCUCUUCGAUCCCAUCGAUUUUUUGCACAUUUUACCUUGACGAUUACCUCCUUCAGCGAAGGACUGUUCAUCUUCAAUAUCUGCACACACAAGUGAACUACAUACAUACAUCUAUAUACAAUAUAUACACAUGUGUGUAGGUGCAUUUGUAUAGCGCUCUUUUAGUUUAGUGCUUUUGCUCUACUCCAGUUGCUGUCUGUUGUCGGCUGUUUAUACCUUUUCGUGCUUCUCAAACAAAUGAUGCGGAAAAUGCUUUUAUUGUCCAAGUAUUAUAUGUCAAUAUGUUCUGUUGUUUUUAUUUUAUUUUGGCGUAUUAAAUAAUGGUACAAGCUGUUGGGUCUACACUUCAGUAGUGCUGGUUACCUGAGAUUGGUCUGAAGGUUCAGCAUGAAACGCACAAAGAAUUUUUUUUUACUUAAAAUGUGCCACUGAAAACGAAGCGGCAUCGAUCAAGCCGAUCUUUGCACACAUACAUACAUCUAGUGUAUGUUCACUGCUGGUUCGUGGUACCACUGCAGGUCGAAAACGUAGUAUACAGCUACCACUCAUACCAUAGUUGCCAUAAGAAAUGCACCUGUGAAGAAUAUUAUAGCUUUUUCAAUGUCUCAAAAGAAAAAAUGAAAAAAAAAAUCCUAAAUAAACAAAAAUGUUCUUUCCUCAAUGAGAUUAUUACAUUUUAUAAGAUUUUUGAGGAAAAAACUUUAUACAUAGAUCCACAAAAAAAGUUAACGAAAAUUAUACUCUUAAAUUUAAAUAAACUUAAUAUAAGUAAUUAAAUAUAUGCGAAGUAGCAAAUCUUCGGUUUACAUACAUAUGCAUGUAUGUAUGUAGAUAGAGAUGGAUAUAUCAACUAACGCAGUAAAAUCUCACACAGCAACCAAAAAUAAACAUAUACAUACAUACAUAUAGGGAUAUUUAUGUAUGUAUUUACAAACCAAAUAAACAAAAGACAACUGAAAUCUAAACUUUUGAAAAGCUUUGCAUUGCGCGGCAUUUCUUCAUGUAAACAAAAUGACAAGAGGCACACAAAUUAAAGCGUUAAAAUACAAAACAUUUUAGUUUAUAGUCAUCCGUUGAGUUUGUGGAAUAAAAGGAAGUUGUCAACAGUGCACAUUUGACGACAGCCCACCACUACAUACUUAUGCAUAUACCAUUUUACAAGUAAAGCAAAUUUCGAAUUUUAACUGCGAUGAGCCACGAAUACUCCCAACGAAGCAGUUAAACAAUUCUAAGAAAUAAUGAUAUCCAAUCGUAAAUUGAUCAUCAAUCCGGCGCUGGAGCUGAGCUGAAGAAGUAAUCUGAUAAUAAGAUGAAAAAAAAACAAAACAAAGAAGUAAAACACAGAAAUUUGUAGGAUAAAAGGGCUGACACCGCGUCAAAGUGUUUAAUGAAAAGAAAAAGUACGUAAACUAAAACACGGGUAUUUUUUAUAAUGAUGCCAGCCAGAAGUGGUCAAUCGAACAAGCAACUAACGUUAAUAUGUAGAAUAACUUACAACAAAUAGGUAAAGAUUAGAAGGAUUCAUCAUUGAUGACAUAUCCAUCAGAGGGUUGGUAUUGAAAUCACCUGGACUACUGUGUUAUUGCUUUUGUUUUAUAUUUUACAUUAAGAGAGCUAAGUUGAAACAGCGCGAGCAGAAAAGUGACGAACCGAAAACGGCGUAUUGUAUUUAUAUUUCUUAUGCAACAAAUCAUAAAAAUCGUUAUCAAAGGUUUGUAAACAAUUUUGGUACUUAAAAUUAGGGGACUACAGGUAAAUACAUUUUUGGCACGCGUACAUGUGUAUGUACGUACAACAAAAGUGCUUGAGUGUAGUUUUAUCAGUGUUUUUCUACCCAAAGGCGUUGCAGCUGACGAUAUGAGGAAGCGUCUAAGGUAAAUAAUUGACGUGCGACAAUAUUAAGAUAAAGAUACAUACAAAUCUAACUACGCACAUAUAUACAUAAGUAUAUAUUCCAAAAAGUUAAUAUCGUUUCUCGGCAGAAUAUUAAUAUGCGUGUAGUGCUUAAGGUAAUAUACGAUAGAUAGCACACUAACUAUAAGAUUUUGAGCAAAGAUAUUACGAAAUAAUUAUUAGUAAAAACUAAUGUAAUAUUUAUACAAAAGAAUAACUUAUAUUCAUUUAAAUUUAAAAUAUUUCAGUAUUUUUAUCUUUCAAUAAAAAAAGUAAUUCUAUCAUAUGUACAAUCUAUUAACAGUUAUUAUAGCCAUUUGCGCAAAGUUUAUAUUCUCUCUCUCUGCAAAUAACCGUUUAAAUUUGAAUGAAUGACUUAACCCUCAAUUUUUGCGCUAUGUAAUGGAAUACAAAAUAUAAAAACCAUAUUCAAAAAGUCUUUCAGUUAUACUUUUUAGAAGUUAGAAUAUUGUAAUAUUGAACGUAUGUAUUUCCAUUUUGUAAAAUGUGAAACUAAUUUAUUUUUUUUGUUGUUUUCUUCAAAACUUAUUUAAAAGUUCGAAAAUAAAAAUUAAUUUUGCAAAUAAACGGUAUUCAUUAAAAAUUUAUAAAACUAAAAAGUCCCACUUGAACAAAUUAAGUUAUAUUUUUCCAGCUGAAAUGCAACAUAAAUACAAAACCGCAAAAAAGAAAAUCAAUUUUUUACAUUUCACUAAUAAAACAAUUUUUUUAUCAUUGCAAUAUAUGUACACAACUGCAUACAUACAAAUGGUAUUUAACACCUGAGUUAAAUUUAUGUUUGUAUCAUAAAUAUUAAUAUUAAAAAAAAAUAAAAAAUACACAAAUAAAAACAAUAGAAUAUAGUAAAAAUUAAUUAAAAAUAAGUAAAAUAUAAUAAACUGUAAAGUAAAAAUAAAAUAUUAAACAAAAAAAAUAGCUAACAAACUAGCAAUUGUUACGGUCUUAAUUUUUUCAAUAGAGAAUAAAUAAAGUUAUGCCAUAAUUACCACAUCCAAUAUAAAAAAGAAUGAUUACAUGUAUCACAAAACAAAAGCACAAUCAUUAGGAAUCAAGGAACUCUUGCGAUGCACAGAGAAAAUAUCAAACAGCCAAACAAAAGCACUAUGAAAAAACUCGAUUGCCAAAGCACACUCGUGCUCCACUACACCACUUCGGUGAUGGCAAUGACAGCGCCGGACAACAACGAUAAUAGUAAUAGCAUGGUGAUACUACAAAAAUAAAAAUCGAUGAUGCAAUCGCAACUAGACAAUCGAGAAAACCCGCUCGACGGUGGUACAACGCCACUGUGGGACAACACACGCCUCAACAUCACCACAAUAACACAUUAUGCCAUAAUCUUGCUGGUAAAAACUCGUAGGAAUAUGUUAAAUGUGCCCCAGUAAAAGCAACAAGCUGUAACAUAAGCUGUCCAGCAGCGGGACAACAACAACUGAAAAGGUGUAAUCAACUAUUGAUUGUGAACACAACAGCCAGCGAAAAGGAGCAAAAUACACGAUGCCACCACAAUCUAGUUGCAACGCAUGCAUACAUAUGUACGACGAUGGACGAUAAUGGUAACAGCUGCAACAGCUGUGCAGCUGAGGCAAAAACUAGAGGCGAGAACCGGCCUUGCAGCAGCAGCAGCAAAUCGGUGGCUGCUCGGACAAAUGUUGCGAGUACAUACAUAUGUUCCUACAUAUAGUGGCCGAGUUAAGUGGGUAGAUAUGGCGUACCAACUGCUGACUGUGCGGAAAACUACAAAUACUGCAGCCAAAGCGAAGUUGUUGCGAAAUUAACGAUUGCUACAAAAUGCAAUACAUGCACACAACUAAAACUGUAACGGUGAUUUCGCUAUAUAUUUUAACAUCCUGUGUGUAGGCCAGACAGUGUGUGAGUGAAUAUACGCCGCCCUCCACUUUCUAGCGCACAUGCACGCGCGCUAACAGCUCUCUAUGGGUGUUUGCCUUCUUCUAUGUAUUCGCGGCAGGAAACCAGUUUUGCACCUUUUCUCUAGUCGCUCUUUCAAUGUUAUGUUGAUAUGGUUCUUUUUUACCGUUCACUGCACCUUUCCGGGUGGUGCAGUAGCGUAGCAUUUGGCCUAGAGACAGUUAUAUGUAAAACAGCAUCAGCAGCAACAACAACAGCUGUAAGACUGCAAAUUUUAACACCAUUAGAGGUGCAGAUAGUUCUUCUCAUGUGUAGCAAGGAGUGUUGCGCGUUUUUGCGCAUGCGUGGCACAUUGGCAUGCUAGCUAUAAUAGCCACCUAGUUGCUCCGUUGGUUGGUUGCUUGCUUAUCUGUAACUGCGCUCCAUUUUUCGCUUCCUUCUUUCAAAUAUGCUACACACAUCUACAUGCAACUACAAUAUUUAGAGGCUGUCUGGCACUGUUCGAGAUUUUGCUGCACCUCCUUCGAACAAUAAAAUGUAACUGUAAAGUAAAAUGAAAUGAAUAUGCCUUUUCACUAAUUUACCACAAAUCUCGCAUUGAGCGGUGCACAAAUGCAUGCACACAUUCAUACAUACACAUUAGAAUGUAUAUGAUGCGAAUGAGUGGCUAUGGCGAAAUGUAAUUAAGUCAGUCUUUACAAAUACACUGAUACAGAUAUAUGAAGUGCACUUCAUAUUUUCUAUAGGUAAUAUCAUUCCAAAAAUAUAUUAAACUUAUAUCUUUGGACCCGCACCAGGUACUUCAAGAAAUAUUAGUUAUCGCUUAGUUGUGAUUCCUUCGACUCUCUAUCUGUCUACAGCAAGUCGAGACCUUUCUUUUUAACUAUGAUAUAUUUGUGAUGGUUGUUGAUCGCGUACCAGGUUUAUAGAUCACGGUUUUUAACAAGGGUCUAGCCAUCUCGGCAACGAAAGAAAUAUUAAAGGCGCUCUUCAAAAGACAGCUGCAAUGCCGAUGAGCUAGUCAGAGGAGACAUCCUUGCCACGCUCACAUCGGCAUCGGAUAGAUCUGCUGUCUAGCACUGGACCAAUGGUCUUCGCAUACGUGUAGCAGGUGCUGGUCGACGACAAAAUCCUGUGCGACUCCGAGAUCCUUUUGGCCUAGAUUAGAAGACGCUGGUUAUCUAUUGAACUAUUUGCCAACUAUUUUGCAAAGUUCAUCUUGCCGCAAUUGUAGAAGCUCUUACUGGACACUGUCAAUAGGCAUUAAUGCGGUAAGGCUAAACAUUUUGUCGGACGCUAGUUGUAUGGAGGAGACUGAAGUGAAAACAUCCAGGAACUUUCUCCUCCAUUGUACAACCUUUGAAAGACUGAGGCUGAAACAUCUCGAUAGUCUUACCUUCGGCGAACAAAAAAAGGAGGAGUUUUUAAUUACAACAGACUGACGUUCUAAGCUGUCCUAAGCGAGAUUCCUCGUAGAAUCGAUCUCUUGCUCUAACCUAACCUCCUCAAAAAGAUAUAAAGAUUGUAUCAAAGACUUACAAAGUCACUGUGCUUGGCCGGAUGGGAAGAAUCUUGAGGGAUGAUACAUUUGAAGCGCAAUUGAUGCUGUUUUCGAUGAAUGAUUAUAGCAAAGGUAAAAGCUUUUAUUUAAUUUCAUACAAGAAAAAAAAACAAUACAUAAUUCUAACAGAGCAGAUUUCCGACGUCUUGUUUAUUUGACCAUCAAAAAAUUCAUUUUUGUUUUUUGCUUUUUGGAAUGGCCAGGAUUGUCUUCAAGAUUAUUAGAUAUAAAGGAAUAUGCAGUGGAUCUGUGCAAUACUGGGUAGACAAAGAUAGUAAUUAUUUAAAAACUUACGAUGAAGAGAUGAUUAUUAGUAAUUGUAACGAACUUUUGAACGCUAAAUCGUCCAGAAUACACUGGCUUUAGCAAGUUAUUUUUAGUCUUUUAUGGAAAACCUUAAUAUAUAAUAUAGAAGACUAGUUUUGGAACACAAAAGCAAUGAAAUUGAACCAGUUCGGGAGUAGUGCUUCACAUUGAAGGAGCUUAAGUAACGUACUAGCCCUUGUUGGCGUACUGUAAAAAACCUUGCUUAGCAACAUAAUACAAAAAAUACACGAAUUUCGUAUUGUUGGAAAAAAAAACCGUGGUAAUCUUUUCUUUUAAAGGUACCAAUUAAUGGAAUAAUUUCUCAAGCUUAACUGUGUUGGCCUGCUCCAUUCAUUUAUAAAUCGACAAAUAUGCAGAAAAAAAAAACCUAAAAUUUAAUUCGCGGAAAAAAGGCAAUAAAGCGACGGCACAAACGGACUACCUGCAAAAGCAGCAGCAUAAUCAAUAGCACAGUCUCAUCCAUAUAUUUCAUUAUUGAGUUGAAAAAUUUGAAGAGUUUGGUUUGUAUGCCAAGAUCAGAUCAAACCAUUUACUAAAGGCCACGCACGCAUCAAAUCUAGAGUUUUGAAGGCUUUACCAUGAUCUAAACAUACCGGAGGAAGAAUAAAUAAAUCUUGAUAUAAAAAUAAGCUUACUUAUAAACACACACUCUUCCAUCGUUACUCAUUUCCCCCCACAAUUUAGGUACAUUAAUUUGAGCGUAAAAUGCUUAACAGCGUCAUAGGAAGCCGCCGAGGCAAGCUUUCUGCAAGCAGACAGGGAAAGACCAGUAAAUUCAAUUUGAAGCUAUGAGCCACAGUAAACAGACAAAGUAGUACACAGCAACAAUGUGGUUUAUUGAAGAUAAGCUAAUUAUGUUGGCGCUUAAGUUCAAAUGAAUACAAGAGAGCACAUAUGCACGUGUGUAGAUCGGCAGCGGAUAUGAAAUGACAAUAAUUUUAAAAUUUGAUUUAUUCAUAAGUGAACGACAUUUAAUGAGCUACAAUUAAAACAUUGCACAGUUAUAUCGUUCGUUCAGUAGCUUGUGUGAUUUUUAUACCCUAAACGGGGUAUAUUAAGUUUGCCACAAAGUUUGUAACAACCAAUGAUGAGGCAAGCAGAUUUAGCCAUGUUCGUAUGUGUGUAUGUAUAUACGCGUACUAGCCCUUAGUUUUUUGAGAUAUCGAUCUGAAAUGUUGCAAAUGUCCUUUUCCAAUAAUCUCCUGAAUUGUUGGAACCGCCGAUAUCGCACCACUAUAGCAUAUAGAAAACUAAUAGAUCAAGUCCAAUCCUUGUAUGAAAACUUUUUUGCUUUUUUUGCUUUGCUGUUUUUUUACAAGAUAUCUUCAGGUAAUUUGGCACAUAUUAUUAUCUAAAGGCUGUAUACAGCUGCCAUUCAAACUAAACGAUCAAAAUAGAGAUAAUUAUCUUCAUAAAAGAUAUUUUUUUUUCUUUUUAGGUAAUCUUGGUACCACUUGAAGGUAUUUUAUACCAAACAAUGUAUUCAUCGUCCUCUAUAAUUUCGUUUUUUAACGGUCGUGUUAGACAAAUUUAAUCUUUCAGCAAACUCUCGAGUUGUUAUUCGACGAUUUGCAUCGGCCAACGACUUUCAUUUUAUUUGCAUCGACUUCAAGUCUUCCAGGACGUGGUGCAUCUUCAAUAUCGAAAUUGCCGGAACGAAAUUUUGCAAACCAAUUUUGGCAUUAGCGUUCGGUCAACACAUCUUCUUGGUACACAUCACAUAAUUUCGCCUCGCUUGAACUGCAUUUUUACCCUUUUGAUAAUAAAACUGUAAAAUUUGCCGAAAA